GUUCCUACGGGACGCAGCAGUGGGGAAUAUUGGGCAAUGGGCGCAAGCCUGACCCAGCAACGCCGCGUGAGGGAAGACGGUCUUCGGAUUGUAAACCUCUGUCUUUGGGGAAGAAAAUGACGGUACCCAAAGAGGAAGCUCCGGCUAACUACGUGCCAGCAGCCGCGGUAAUACGUAGGGAGCGAGCGUUGUCCGGAAUUACUGGGUGUAAAGGGAGCGUAGGCGGGCGAGAAAGUUGAAUGUUAAAUCUACCGGCUUAACUGGUAGCUGCGUUCAAAACUUCUUGUCUUGAGUGAAGUAGAGGC
rnacentral:rRNA from 1 species